rnacentral:rRNA from 1 species
AUUGACCGCUGGCGGCACGCCUAACACAUGCAAGUAGAACGAGUGGCGGACGGGUGAGUAAUGUCUGGGAAACUGCCUGCUGGAGAGGGAUAACUACUGGAAACGGUAGCUAAUACCGCAUACCAUCGGAUGUGCCCACAUGGGAUUAGCUAGUAGGUGGGGUAAAGGCUCACCUAGGCGACGAUCCCUAGCUGGUCUGAGAGGAUGACCAGCCACACUGGAACUGAGACACUGUCCAGACUCCUAAGGCAGGCAGCAGUGGGGAAUAUUGCCCAAUGGGCGCAAGCCUGAUGCAGCCAUGCCGCGUGUAUGAAGAAGGCCUUCGGUUUGUAAAGUACUUUCAGCGGGGAGGCGGAACCCGAAGAGGAAGCACCGGCUAACUCCGUGCCAGCAGCCGCGGUAAUAC